CACUGCUAUCGGGGUUCGAUUAAGCCAUGCGAGUCGAGAGGGUUCAGACCCUCGGCGCACUGCUCAGUAACAUGUGGAUAACCUACCCUGAGGAGGGGGAUAACCCCGGGAAACUGGGGAUAAUACCUCAUAGGUUUCAGAUGCUGGAAUGCUCUGAAACCGAAAUGCUCCGGCGCCUCAGGAUGGAUCUGCGGCCGAUUAGGUUGUUGUUGGGGUAACGGCCCAACAAGCCCGUCAUCGGUACGGGUUGUGAGAGCAAGAGCCCGGAGAUGGAUUCUGAGACACCAAUCCAGGCCCUACGGGGCGCAGCAGGCGCGAAACCUUUACAAUGCGAGCAAUCGUGAUAAGGGAACCCCGAGUGCCUGAAACCAGGCUGUUCAGGUGUUUAAAAAGCACCUGGAGAAAGGGCCGGGCAAGACCGGUGCCAGCCGCCGCGGUAAUACCGGCGGCUCGAGUGGUGGCCGCUAUUAUUGGGCUUAAAGCGUUCGUAGCUGGGUUGUUAAGUCUCUUGGGAAAUCUCACGGCUCAACCGUGAGGCGACUAAGAGAUACUGGCAAUCUUGGGACCGGGAGAGGUGAGAGGUACUCCAGGGGUAGGAGUGAAAUCCUGUAAUCCUUGGGGGACCACCGGUGGCGAAGGCGUCUCACCAGAACGGCUCCGA
rnacentral:rRNA from 1 species